UGGGGUGCCGGGAUAGAAAAUCUAUGCUUGUGUCUUGGCAGAAUCUAGAGUGUUGGGAUGGGGAAGAUGGGUAGAUGUCCCAGUGGAAGUUGAGGUAUCAGAUAUGGGGGGUUCCACUAGGGCUUGGGGUGCCAGGAUGGGGAAUAUAGAUUGUGGUCCUUGGGGGGCUUAGGGUGCUGGGAUGGAGAGGGUAAUUGGGCAUCCCAGUGAGAAUUGUAGUGCUGGGUUGUGGCAGUCCUGGCAGGGUUUAAGGUGCUGGCAUGGGGAGUUUGGACUUGGGUCCCGUUGAGGUCUGAAGUGCCAGGUUGAGGGGUUCUUGGUGGGAUUUGAGAAACUAAGAUGGGGUGAGUUGUUUGGGGAAUGCUGUUAGGGAUCAGGGUGCCAGGAUGGAGGAGGUCCUGGUAGGGUUUGGGGUGCCAGGAUAGGGAGUGGUACAGGUAUCCCUUUGAGGAUUGAGGUUGGAGGGUCCCGGUGAAGUUUGUGGUGCAGUGAUGGGGAGUUUGGGCUGCGGUCCCAGUGGGGUUUGGGAUGCUGAGCUGGGGAUUCUGUUGAGGAUGGGGAGUGCCAAACUGGGGACAUCCCAGGAGAGCUUAGUGUGCUGAGAUGGGGAGAGUGAAUGAGGGUCCUGAUGGGUUUGGAGGUACAGGGAUGGAAAGGACAUGGAGCAUUCUUGAGGCUUUUUGGGUGCCAAGUCAGGGAGGAAGGUGGGGGUCCCAGGAGAAAUCAGGGGGGAUUCUACCUGUGACAGAAUGAUCUGAUACACUGCAGGGUCUACCGAUGGGUACACUUAUCUUCUGAGAGAACUGAGGUCACGCGGCUGAGUUUUCCUCCUUGACUUCCAGACACAGGAACUUGCAUUCAGCUACAAAACCAAGCGGACUGCAAAUCUCAUCAUAUCAUAUGACUCCAAGCAAUAGCCUUAAAGUCAAUGCAGCUUUUGAAGAACCAUUUCCAAGAACUGGUUGCUGGAUGACCAUUUUUCACCUGGGAAUUGCUUCAGGCUCUUUUUGCCCAAGUAUUACAUACUCAAGACAUUUGAACUAGAUGGAUAUUUCUUAACAUUUCAUUUUCUAUGGAUAUCCUGCAAAUUAUUCAUCAAAGACAGUAUUUGGGAUGCAUCAGCAGACUGUGUGUGUGUGUACAAAGGAAGGUUUUCCCAAGGCUCCAUCUCGCCAGUUGUGCAUUCUGCACUCCUGCCAGCCAGCAGUGAUGGUUUCUCCCUGCUGCUCCACUCAGCAAUGGAAAGUUAUCUGAAGCCUUAUUUUCAAAUGCUGCAACUUUUACAAGAGAGCCCAGUAUGUGUGAAAACACACAGGCUAUAAAAGGGAUGAAGAGAAAAAUCCUGAUUUCACCCCUUCCUGCCCCUCACUGCAGAGAGAGGCAGCAAUCCCUUAGUGGUUAUUUGUACUCGACACUUUACUGUGAAACCACAGCCUUGGUUUACCAAAAGCAUGAUUUGCACUUCAAAAUACUUGGAUUUUUAAAACCUGUGCAAAUAGCCCCUAAGGCUUGGCUGCAUUGGUGGUAGAGUCUGUGGGCUCUGACUCCUAAAUUCUGUUACAUUAUUAUAGCAACUAAGAUGUCCCACAGCUGUCUCCAUACCUUUUGCCCCCCAAGGAUUUCUAUCUCUCUGUAGAGGUAAAGAGGUGUAGGAUCCCAUUUGAAUCUGGAGAGGGAGAGGGAAAGGUAGAGGGAGAGCGAUUGGGAGAGGGAGGGGGAAAGGAUCACCUGUUUUUCCCAAAGCCUUGGUUGAAUAAAAGUCUGGAGAGGUCUGUCUUUGUGACCUUACAGAAAUAUGGAUGAUGGUUGUAUACUUACAAUCAAAAAAGCCAAGACACUCCAGUAGUUUCAGGUAGUAAGGGAUGCAAAAAGCAACCCUGGCAAUUUUGUGCAUGUGAAAGGAAGGAUGGAGUAAAUCUCUGAAUUCUCAGAGGGAAAAAAAUCAAAUACUGGAAACCACAGAAAAUACUUACUAUAUUUUUUUUCUCUUUAAAGAAGGAUUAGCCAGGCCGCACUGGCAAGUAAAAUUGGUUUAUAGAGAGUAGAGCAGAGACAGAACAGGACAAGAAUGUGUCAGAAGAUGAGAUGAGGUAAAUCUGAGGUAUGCCAGAGCCUGAAGAAACCUGUGCAGGAAGAGCUAUGAAGUGAGGCCAGGACAGCUGACCUAAACCCAUACUGUAGGGUGUUAUACUCGGCAGUAAAAAUGAGGAAAGAGGAAGAGGGGGGGACUGUCGUAAUAAAAAUGUUCAUUCUGCUAAACAAUUGUUACUUGCAUUGAAACUUUGUUCUCCAAGACAUAGUUGCCCAUCAGAGUGAAAACACCACAGCAAGGAAGAACAUUUCCUUGAUCAAUGAAAACCAAUCUUGACGAAGGAAGUGACAAUUGGAAUAUCAAAGAAAUGCUGGUGCAGGCUGCCCAGAGAAGUUUCCCCUGGAGGUGUUCAAAGCCAGGUUGGAUGGGGCCCUGGGCAGCCUGCCCUGGUGUGUAAUCUAGUGGUUGGCAACUCUACUCAUGGCAGGGGGGUUGGAACUAGAUGAUCUUUGAGGUCCCUUCCAACCCAAACUAUUCUGUGACUCUGCCAGGGCAUCUUCCAUGCCAUUUCCAUGCUACACGAGCAUAACACGUGGACUGAACACAUCUACACUCACAGCACUGAUGAGCAGCAUCAACAAAAGGAGAACUUAGCAGCAUGGAUCAGUUAAGUGUUA